rnacentral:rRNA from 1 species
GGAAUAUUGGUCAAUGGGCGAGAGCCUGAACCAGCCAAGUAGCGUGCAGGACGACGGCCCUAUGGGUUGUAAACUGCUUUUAUGCGGGGAUAAAGUGAGGUAUGUAUACCUUUUUGUAGGUACCGCAUGAAUAAGGACCGGCUAAUUCCGUGCCAGCAGCCGCGGUAAUACGGAAGGUCCGGGCGUUAUCCGGAUUUAUUGGGUUUAAAGGGAGCGCAGGCGGGGAGCUAAGCGUGACGUGAAAUGUAGCCGCUCAACGGCUGAACUGCGUCGCGAACUGGCUUUCUUGAGUGAGUACGACGUCAGCGGAAUUCGUGGUGUAGCGGUGAAAUGCUUAGAUAUCACGAAGAACCCCGAUUGCGAAGGCAGCUGACGAGUCCUUUACUGACGCUAAAGCUCGAAGGUGCGGGUAUCGAACA